rnacentral:lncRNA from 1 species
CCGCCGCCCGCCGCCGCCGCCGCCGCCGCCGCCGCCGCCGCCGGCGCUCUUGGACUCCGACCCGCCUGGUCCCCGCGCCCGCCGCGGCGCACCCCGCACCCCGCAACCCAGCCCCGAGCGCGCCGGCCCGGGAGGGAGCGCAGCCCGGUCACGUGACGGCACCCCGCACCCGGGGCUGGGUGAGGGGGCCCCGGCCUCCCGGCCCCGCCGCCUCCGCGGAGCCCGCCUGGGUUAGAGGGGACACCCCGGGGAGGCCAGCACUGUCCCCGCGACGCCGUCCGCGGCUGCGGACCGUGAGUGCGCAGGGACGUGGGAGGCGCAGGAGGCCGGGCCGAGGCUGCCGGCUGGGUAGGCUGGGAGCAGCCUCAGCAGCAGCGUCCGCGGUUGGAAGGCAGCGAACCCCAGCGCCGAGCAGCAGCUCCACACAGCCUGCCUGUGACACCUUCUCCCAAAACUAGGCCCCAGGAAGCCCGAGGCGGCACAGGCUGUAAUGCCAGCGCUAGAGCGGUAGACAGACAGACAGACAGACAGACAGACAGAGGGGUCAGGAGUUCACGUCACUGUGUCUACGAGUGUUCUGUAACAAUUUAAGACAUCCAGAAAUGACUUUUCCGUAACACCGAGGGACUCAUGGUGUGAAAGUUUGCUGUGUGCCUUCGUAGUUUGCUUUGAAAGUGUGUUUCCUCCCUCUCGUCCUUACUUCGUGUGUGUGUGUGUGUGUGUGUGUGUGUGUGUGUGUGUGUGUGCGCGCGCGCGCGCGUGUGCGUGUGUGUGCGCUCGUGCGCGCGCGUGUGUGUCUGAGUGUGUGUGCAUGCGUUUCCUUUCUUCCUUCUUGUCUUCUGUUGUCUCUUUUUGUUUGUUUUGAGACUCGGUCUCACUACAUAGCCUUUGCUGGAUUGGAAUUUGCUAUGUAGACCAGGCUGGCCUCCAGCUCAGAGAACCACUUGCCUCUGCCUCCCAGUGGCUUAGUUUUUGAAACAGUCUCACACACUGUAGCCUGGGUGGCCCUUCCACUAGCCCAGAAAUCACAGUGGUCUUCUUGCCUCCAGGUGCUCAGCUUUACAGGCAUGCACUUCCGUGCCGGACACUGUUUUGAACAUUGUUUCUGGGAAGUGCCAGUAGCUCCUGCAGUCCUUGUAGUUAGGGAAGUAAGUGGAGACAGGAACAUCAGGAGUUCAGGCAACUUGAGCCAUUGUCUAAAAAAAACAAAAAAACUAAAUACACAAAGGUUCGUGAUUUUGCCGAUUUUUGCCCUAAGAAAUUUUUUUAAAGAUUUUUUUCUAUUUUUAUUUAUUAUGUAUACAGUGUUCUGUCUGUAUGUACACUUGCAUGAAGAAGAGAGCACCAGAUCUCAUAAUGGAUGGUUGUGAGCCACCAUGUGGUUGCUGUGAAUUGAACUCAGGACCCCUGGAAGAGCAGUCAGUGCUCUUAACCUCUCAGCUAUCUCUCCAGCCCCCAAAGAGAAAACUUUAUAUGUAAUCCUGUGAAUGUGUGUAUCUGUGUAAGGGUGUGUGUGCAUGAGUGCAGGUGCCCAAGGAGGCCAGAAGAGGGCACUUGAUUCCCUGAAGCUGGAGUUACAGGCAAUUGACAGCUGCCUGACAAGGGUACUGGGAACUAAACUUGGAUUCUCUGCAGGCCGUCUUCUAGGCUAGAAGUUCUCAACCUGUAGGUUGUGACACCAAAAGGACCAUCAAAAAACACAGAUAUUACUGUUAUAAAGUAGCAAUGAAAUAAUUUUAUGGUUGGGGAUCAACACAACAUGAAGAACUGUACUAAAGAGUUGCAGCAUUAGAAAGAUUGAGAACCACUGUGCCAGCCCUCUUGAUAGUUUUGUCUGAAGCUUUCUUUGGGGCACUCAGCUGAACUGCCAUUGCACAGAAUCCCCUAGUGAGGGGCUGGGGGUGUGGCUCAAAAGGUAGGAUGCUUGCUUAGUGUGUGCAAAACCCUGAAUUCACUUCAUAACAACACACACACACAGAGAGAGAGAGAGAGAGAGAGAGAGAGAGAGAGAGAGAGAGAGAGAGAGAGAGAGAGAGAGAAGAAAAACAACUUUUGUUGGCUUGGUGCCGGGCUUGGGGAUGGAAAGAAGGGAGGGUCUUUAGUUAAGAAUAGUGGAUGAGAGAGAAAAGUGAAUGAUGGACUCAAACUGGAGACCACUGUAGGGAGACACCCUAGCCCCGCCCAAUAGUCCUGGGACAGGUGCCAGGUGGACCCGGGACUCAAAAUUGAUCAAGAUUCGAGUCGAGGAGGACAACCCUCUCAACAAGGAUGACUGACAGGAACCCUCCUCCGGAAGUCAAAGGACACUACAUGUGUAGAUACUUAAGGAAAGAACGUAGCUAUAACCAUCGAACAAAAGGAACGUGCCAUAUGGUAAAAUUUACAGCUGUCUCUCAAAUAACUCUAUUUCUCUUCAUUUCCUAGUCCCUAUUCAAUUAAAUCGAUGCUGGAUUUAGAGUUGGAUUUGGCUUUCCUACUCUAAAAUCCAAGCAUGUUAUUUAACAACAUUUUAAAAUUUCUGUGUUAUAUCAAGAAGCCGAUUGCUGUAAUACAGAAUAAAUGAAGAAUAAGAGGACUGUCUUUGUCUUUUCUUGGCUCUUUCUUUCAAGGCCUACACCCUCUCAUAAUUGUUGUUCUUCAAGGAUUGCCUUUCCCAGUACACAUACAUGAUCAAGCGAACAUUUCUCUGAUGACACUUAUGUUUGAGUCCCAAACAGCCAACGAGAACCAGUCUGACAGCGAUCCCUGCAUGCUCCGGAAAAAGAAUUGGACUACACCUCCCUGACUGCACUGGAUUCAACUCACUCCGUUUCGACUGACACUCCAACCAGAACCUUGAGUAAUGACUUCAAUCAAGCUGAGGAUUUCAACGUAGAUCUUCAAUCAAACAAAUCUCAUCUAACAUGGACUAGACAUAACUCAUUAGAGACUUUCCCUGUACUAGCAUUUUUUCCCACAGGACCCCCACAUGACUACCAUCGUCCCAUUUCAGCAGGAAAUAACCUAGAAGAUGCUACGCCCCGUUCCCCAUUAUUGUUUAUUAGGGUAGUGUAAGCCUAGUUAAGAAUGACCUUCUUAUUGUUUAGAGUUGGGAUUGGAAGAAGGUGUUCAAGUUAGACACCUUUUCCACAUGACUUUAAGACUUAGCUGGAAUAGACAUAGGAUGUGCCAUAGCAGAUUAUUGUAUCUUCUUGUAUUUCACCUUUAUGAUUGUUAGUUUUGGAUAUUUUACACUAUUAAGUUUUAAUCCUCUUUUAGACUAAAAGGGGAAUUGUAGGGACACCCUAGCACUGCCCAAUAGUCCUGGGACAGGUGCCAGGUAGACUCGGGACUCACCCAUAAGGGCGUGGUGAAAGAAAGCCGAGGUGACAUAAGUGAGCUUCUUAAGGGCUGCACGUGGAGACCCUAGCCCCUUCUUUCUGGCCGCGCUAGCUGGGUUCCUGUGACCUCGCUCUGGCCUGCGCUUUGCUCUGGUGCUUUCUUGAAUAAAGAAAUCUUACCAUCACGGACUACAGUUCAUCUUUGAGCACACGCUGCACACUAUAAUCUUCAGAACACUGCAGUGCAAAGUGAUAGAAGAAGAAACCUGGCAGAAAAGCAUGAAAAUCUAAUUUUGGUUGAGAGCUUUGAUUCACAUAGUAAAGCCCAGAAAGAUAUUUAACUGUUUGUGCAUAUGUGUUCAUCAUGUGUGUGAACCUGCCAUGACACACAUGUAGAGAUCAGAGGACAACUUACAGGACUUGGCAUCCCUGGAUUAAAGCUCAGAUCAUCAGCCUGGGCACCGUGUACCUUCCCACUGACCGUCUGUCUGUCUGUCUGUCUAUCUAUCUAUCUAUCUAUCUAUCUAUCUACCUAUCUAUCCUUGUGUGUGUGUGUGUGUACACACACAGUGUUUUCCUUUUUUAAUAAAGAUUAGACAUGACUACUUCAAAACUUUUUUUUUUUAAAGAGUUAUUAUGUCUACAGCACUCUGCCAGUAUGUACACCUACAGGCCAAAAGAGGACACUAGAUCUUAUUAAAGAUGGUUUUGAGCCACCAUGUGGUUGCUGGGAAUUGAACUCAGGUCCUCUGAAAGAGCAGCCAGUGCUCUUAACCACUGAGUCAUCUCUCCAGUCUCACUGUGUUUCCUUUUUGGCAGUGUUGAGUACUAAAUCCAGAGCUUCUGAUAUACUAAACAAGUAUUCUACCACUGAGAUCUGUGCCCAGUUCCUGGGCUUUGUUUAGGUAGUUGGUUGGUUGGUUGGGUUUUGGUUUUCUUGAGACAGGGUGUCUAUAUAUGUAGCUCAGGCUGGCCUUAAAUCCACAGGGAUCCUUCUGCUUUAGUUGUCUGAGUUUUGGGACUACAGGUGUGCGCCACCACAAAUCUAGCUUGUAAAACAGAAUCUUAAUUAUCUUAGAAACACACACAGCUUGAGUCAUGGAAUGGUCAUUUACACUGUGUUUGUUGUUUUGUGAGUUUUGUUCUUGGUUCUUUUGGUUUGGUUUGGUUUGGUUUUUUCAAGACAGGGUUCCUCUGUGUAGCCCUGCCUGUCCUGGAACUCACUCUGUAGACCAAGCUGGCCUUGAACUCAGAACUCAGAGAUUCUCCUGUCUCUGCCUCCUGUAUGCUGGGAUUAAAGAAAGGCAUGAGCCACCACUGUCUGUAGGCUGUUUUGUUGUUUUUUGUAUUUUUGUUUUUUGUUUUUGUUUUUUUUUGUUUUUGUGUGUGUG